rnacentral:rRNA from 1 species
CCAGACUCCUACGGGAGGCAGCAGUGGGGAAUAUUGGGCAAUGGAGGCAACUCUGACCCAGCAAUGCCGCGUGAGUGAUGAAGGUAAUUUUAUUGUAAAGCUCUUUUCUUUGGAACGAAUAAAUGACGGUACCAAAGGAAUAAGCCCCGGCUAACUACGUGCCAGCAGCCGCGGUAAUACGUAGGGAGCAAGCGUUGUCCGGAAUUACUGGGCGUAAAGGGCGCGUAGGUGGGCGCUUAAGUCAGGUGUGAAAACUCCGGGCUCAACCUGGAGACUGCACUUGAAACUGGGUGUCUUGAGGGCAGGGGAGGAAAGUGGAAUUCCUAGUGUAGCGGUGAAAUGCGUAGAUAUUAGGAGGAACACCAGUGGCGAAGGCGACUUUCUGGACUGUACCUGACGCUGAGGCGCGAAAGCGUGGGUAGCGAACGGGAUUAGAUACCCUAGUAC